CCAAGGCUUUCAAGCUGCUUUUCCUCGGGACCAGAAUCAGGCAGAUUUGUAUUCCACUAAGUUCCCCAGUCAAACUGUACCACUAUCUUGGCUCCUGCAGGUGAACAAAGGCACUGGCUGAGACUACUACUUGUGUGUGGCAGAUCUAUACCCACUGCAAGAAUGCUUUUCAGAUGUGUUAUUGUUCUCAACCAUCAACUUAAAGAGUUUUUUGUUCUACCUCCAACCCACUGAACAAAUGUGGUCCUGUGUUAUCCUUGGUGUCCUUCCUAACGGUGGUCUAAAGAUUCCAUUUCCAAAAGGC